UUCCAAAGUGCUUGGAUUACAGGUGUGAGCUACCGCACCCUAUCAAGUUUCUCUUGAUCCAGAAAUUCCAAGCUUACACUUUUGGUGACUGAGGAUCACUAAGACAAAAGGCAUGAACGGAAUCAACUGGUCUUGAGGUUCUGCAUGGAACUCUGGUAUAAAGCAGUUUUGGGGUCAGAACCAACAGAUCUCUAAUAUUCUUUGGUCUGAAAACUGGCAGCAGCUGGUGAUCCAGAGGUCUCAUGGCAGAAUGAAGGAAUUUACCAAAGCCAAGCCCUUUGACUCUGGGCCUAUCUAUUUCUUUGAUCAGUUGAAACCUGAACGGAAAGAUGGGAAAAGAUAACCUGUGAAGAAAGUUAUCCCACCCAAAAUGCACCUCAAGAGCUAAGUCGUAAAAAUCUGUGCUUUGGGAUUUGAUGAACUCUUGGAAAGCAUUUUCUGCAUCCUGCUGGUUGUGAAAGCAUUUUCCCUGCAAAAAGUUCUCGAGAUGCUUGA
rnacentral:lncRNA from 1 species